AAAGGGAGACCUAAUUCAGGUAUGGGAUGAAAAAAAAGUAGUCCCAACCAAGAAUCAAUCCCAAAAGGUCGGAGCGAGGCAAAAUUGGCCUUCAAACUAGGUUCUGGGUUCACACAAGACCUGAAUCAGGAACAAGGGCUAUUAGCUCAGGUGGUUAGAGCGCACCCCUGAUAAGGGUGAGGUCCCUGGUUCGAGUCCAGGAUGGCCCACCUGCACAGGUGGCCAAAACAAAGAAAAAAAGCUCCGGAUCAGCACCUUAUCUUACUUAUAUAGUAAGAGAGAAUGCUGGCUCUGAGUACAGAGUCCAGAGGAACCUUGAAAACUGCAUAGAGCUAGGUGAAAAAGCCAAAAAAGAAGACCGCAAG
rnacentral:tRNA from 1 species